GGAAUACAAAAAGUUAUUGACUUAUGCUGAAAUCAUCUCCUUAUCAUCUUUCGUCUUUAUAAAAGGAAAACUGUGAGACUAUCUAGGAAAAAUUGGAUUGCCUUUGUAACAUAUAUGCCAGAUUAGAUCUAUUGUUAAUGAUUGUCAUUCUAAUGAUGAGUUCCCAUGUAGCUCUCUUUGAUUGACCGAAAUUGUUUGCAGGUUCA
rnacentral:misc_RNA from 1 species